AGUGUUUUGUCUCUUUCAAGCAUUGCAUAUUAUUGCAUGAUUAUAAUUGGAUCUUCACAUUUGAAUUACCUAGAGUCAUGUUUGUAGUUUUGAGCUAUGAAGCCUGGACUCUUUUCCUUUGAAGCACGAACACCGAACACGUAUGGAUGUCGACAUCGAUAAUAAUUUGAGAAAAUGACAUAAUUCAGUGAAAUCAUUUGUGUCGGUGUGCGACACUGUGUCUGUGAGAGCUAUGAAGCAGCUCUCCUCAGAGUAGGUGUGUCUUGGUGUCGGACACUGACACAUAUGAUUAUACUCAUGGUAUGAGAAACUGGCUACUUUUGGCUUUUUAGCCAAAGCCUAUGUUAUAUAUAUAAUUAUAAUUAUUAAUUGAAGUUAAAUAGUUUGCAUCCCCUAAUCUAAGGUUCUGGAUACGUAACUAACUAUCCUCAUUCCUCUCUCUCAUGUGUUUCCCCGCUUAUCAUUUUCUGGUUUUUGUCUUCCUUUUUCAUAUAUAGUACCUCUCUUUUGAUUUCAUCUAUUUAUUAAUUUUUUGACAAUUUUUGUUUUAU
rnacentral:lncRNA from 1 species